UCGUCCCCGUGUUUUUUGCAACGCGUUUGUCAAGCGUUGUGAUCGUCAAAGGGGACGCAUAUCACCAAGUGCCAAUAACUCGUUAUUGUAUGCCAUAGACGCGUUUGCAGGCUUGCAUCUCCAUAUAUUGGCGACACCU
rnacentral:snoRNA from 1 species